AUGCCUAGUCCAUGUCACAAAAUCAAGAGUUUAACGAAAGACGCAGUGAAUCAGACUAACCUUAUGGCGGCGAUAGGGAGUGAUUUCCAGAGAUGUUGUGAAUUCAGAAAGAUGACGAAGGCUCUACGGUUUAAAGGUUCGGAAAAAAUGGUGGAGAUGAUUGAAGAUUGGAGGCGCGAUGAUGUUGCAGAUUUACAAUGA